UACGUAGGGUCCGAGCGUUGUCCGGAAUUAUUGGGCGUAAAGGGCUCGUAGGCGGUCUGUCGCGUCGGUAGUGAAAACUCAGGGCUUAACCCUGAGCCUGCUUCCGAUACGGGCAGACUAGAGGUAUGCAGGGGAGAAUGGAAUUCCUGGUGUAGCGGUGAAAUGCGCAGAUAUCAGGAGGAACACCGGUGGCGAAGGCGGUUCUCUGGGCAUUACCUGACGCUGAGGAGCGAAAGUGUGGGAGCGAACAGG
rnacentral:rRNA from 1 species